rnacentral:tRNA from 1 species
CGCUAGGAAGCUAAACUGGGUUCAGCGUUAGCCUUUUAAGCUAAAAACUGGUGGCUCCCAAUCACCUCUAGCGA